GUUCCUGUAGUUUAUUUAGCAACGGUGGUUUUUCAAGCCACUGGUCCUGGUUAGAGUCCUGGUAGGAAUU
rnacentral:tRNA from 1 species